CUCAGGAUGGGCACAUUCUGCUCAGGGCCAGCGCUGGCCUGGGCCCAGGGCCAGGGUAUUGCAGAGACCCUCUGUGGGGACAAGGACCUCGUGGAGUUCUGGGCAUGUCCCAAGCAGUUUGGGCCUUGUUAGGGAUGGGGUUGCUAACCCACUGCAUGUGGGACAGCUGUGCAGAGUAGAACCCAUGUGCUCUGGGUGGGCACAGAGACUGCAGGUGUGACAGGCCUCAGGCAGUGCUGCCCAGUGCAAGAGGAAGAUGAAGGCGGCUGUGCUCAGCGUGGCCCUGCUCUUCUCCAUCCUGCUGUGCCCCCCAGCACAGGCCAAGCCACUCCUGGAAGGAACCCAAGAUGAUCUCCAGGAGUUGGAUUUAGACAAUCUUGAGAUCCUGGAGACACCUCUGCCCCCUGUGGCUGAAAAGCUGGAGGGUCUUUUGCGGCAGAAGCGCCUGGCUGCCUCUCUCCAUGGAUAGGAUUGGAACUGUUGGUGAAAACCAUGUCCUGCCCCCCUCCAGUGGCAUGAGGAGAUGAUCAUUCCUGGAGGAAUUGCCUGAUCCCCUGUGAGCCCUGGGCUUUUUUCCUCAAACAAGAAAUAAAUGCAUUCAGCAAAGCCA
rnacentral:lncRNA from 1 species